rnacentral:rRNA from 1 species
UACGAAGGGGGCGAGCGUUGUUCGGAAUUACUGGGCGUAAAGGGCUCGUAGGCGGCCAACUAAGUCAAACGUGGAAUCCCUCGGCUUAACCGGGGAACUGCGCUUGAUACUGGAUGGCUUGAGAUUGGGAGAGGGAUGCGGAAUUCCAGGUGUAGCGGUGAAAUGCGUAGAUAUCUGGAGGAACACCGGUGGCGAAGGCGGCAUCCUGGAUCAACACUGACGCUGAGGAGCGAAAGCCAGGGGAGCAAACGGG